UAAUGUGGCGCGGGCAAGGGCCUCACCCCGGCGCGCCGACGUAGGUGAUCCGGGUUUUGGAGCGACCGCGGGCAGCAUGAGCGGCUGCAGGCUCUUCUUGCGUACGGCUGCGGGGGCGCGAACCUGCCAGGCUCUGAUGGACCCUAGGGCGAGCCGGCGUCCGUUGCGCACCUGUCCGCCGCGGCGAGCGUUCGCCAAGGAGCUCUUUCUGGGCAAAAUAGAGAAGAAGGGAGUUUUCCCAUUUCCAGAGGUGAGCCAAGAUGAGCUUAAUGAAAUCAAUCAGUUUGUGGGACCUGUGGAAAGAUUCUUCGCUGAAGAGGUGGACUCUGGAAAAAUUGACCGGGAGGGGAAAAUCCCAGAUGACACUUUGGCGAAGCUGAAGAGCCUGGGGCUUUUUGGGAUGCAGGUCCCAGAAAAAUAUGGUGGCCUGGGCCUCUCCAACACCAUGAGCACUCGGCUGGGGGAGAUUGUCAGCCUGGAUGGAUCCAUUGCUGUGACCCUGGCGGCGCAUCAGGCCCUUGGCCUCAAGGGGAUCGUCUUGUUUGGCACAGAGGCGCAGAAGGCCAAAUACCUGCCCAGGCUGGCUUCUGGGGAGCAUGUCGCAGCCUUCUGCUUCUUGGAGCCCGCCAGCAGGAACGAUGCUGCCUCCAUCCGGACAAGAGCCACACUGAGUGAAGAUGAGACGCACUAUGUCCUCAAUGGCUCCAAGGUCUGGAUCACCAAUGGGGGAAUAGCUGAGAUUUUCACCGUGCUUGCAAAGACCAAGGUGGUUGAUUCCGAUGGCUCUGAAAAGGACAGAAUCACAGCGUUCAUAGUAGAAAGAGACUUUGGUGGAGUCACUAAUGGGAAACCAGGAGAUAAGUUAGGCCUUCGCGGCUCCAACAUUUGUGAAGUCCAUUUUGAAGACACCAGGGUGCCUGUUGUAAAUGUCCUUGGAGAAAUUGGAGGUGGCUUUAAGGUAGCCGUGGACGUCCUCAACAGUGGGCGGUUCAGCCUAGGCAGUGUUGUGGCCGGGAUGCUCAGGAGACUGAUUGAACUGACUGCUGAGUAUGCCUGUGAGAGGAAGCAGUUCACUAGGAAGCUCAGUGAAUUUGGGUUAAUUCAGGAGAAGUUUGCACUGAUGGCUCAGAAGGCAUACGCAAUAGAGAGCAUGUCCUACCUCACUGCAGGGAUGCUGGACCACCCGGAGUGUCCGGACUGCUCCAUUGAGACAGCCAUGGUGAAGGUGUUCAGCUCUGAGGGUGCCUGGCAGUGCGUGAGUGAGGCACUGCAGAUCUUGGGGGGUUUGGGCUACAUAAAGGACCACCCCCACGAGCGCAUGCUUCGUGAUGCCCGUGCGCUGCUCUUCUUGGAGGGAACCAAUGAAAUCCUACGGAUGUUCAUCGCUCUCACGGGCCUGCAGCAUGCCGGGAGCAUCCUGACCCCGAGGAUCAAGGAGCUUAAAGAGAGCAGAGUGGCUAUAGCCAUGGAGACUAUGGCCCGGAGGCUGUGGGACACUGUGGGCCGAACUGUGGACCUGGGGCUGACGGACGACCCUGGAGUUGUGCACCCCAGUCUUGGUGACAGUGUCACCAAGCUGGAGGAGAACGUGUUUUACUUUGGCAGGACUGUGGAGACACUGCUGCUGCGCUUCGGGAAGACCAUCGUGGAGGAGCAGCUGGUGAUGAAGCGGGUGGCUAAUGUCCUCAUCAACCUGUAUGGCAUGACGGCUGUGCUGUCUCGGGCCAGCCGCUCCAUCCGCAUUGGACUCCGGGACCAUGACCACGAGGUUCUGUUGGCCAGCACAUUCUGCAUGGAAGCUUAUUUCCAGAAUCUCUUCAUCCUGGCACAGCUGGAUAAGUAUGAUCCCGGAAACCUGGAUGAGCUGGUUAAGAAAGUGUCACAGCGCAUCCUGGAGAAGCGGACCUAUAUCUGUGCCCACCCUCUGGACAGGACCACCUGAGGCAGGGCCAGCUCCAGGCCACACAGCAUCCACCUCACCCUGACAGACUCUGGUGAACUGUUGCCCUGUGGGCUCCUGAGGGCGCCUGAGGGCUUUUUGCCGCCUGAUUUCUCUUCAGCUGCCCAAUCAGUUGUGGCUUCUCAGACACCAAGAGAGUAGAAGUGUUGGGGCCUGACUGAGUGUGAUGGCUGUGCUGAGUUCCGGACACCUCUGGGGAGGAAGCUACGGGGCUCUGUCUGAGGCAUGGGCUGCCAUCUCCACCAGAUCACAUGUUCAAGAACUUGGAAGCUGUGUCCAGUUAUUCUGUGAAACUUACAAUGUGUGUCAGCAUCAUUAACAGGAAAAAUGUAAAAUGGCACAAUUUGUGUCUCCUUUUCUAGCCUUUCUACACUACUGAGGACUAAUGUUAAGUCCUCAGAACCAGCCAUUAGCAGCUGGUCCUGGUGGUAUACACCUGUGAUUCCAGCACUGUGGGAGGCUGAAGCAGUUCAAGCCCAGCCGGAGAAUCUAGCAACUCCCAGUCUGAAAGGAUUUACACUGAGCACCUUUUGCUUGCCAAGGAGGCGGCAGCACCACUGAGCUAAAUCCCCAGCCACCAAGAACUGACUUUUAUUGGCAAUCACUUGGGGUAAAAGCAACCUAUGUGCAUUUAUCAUGAAAAUGAAUGUGAAAAAAAGUUCAUAAAGGAGAAGACAAAGCAUUCUCAAAUUAGGAACAGACUACACAAAAUGUGAGGUUGUCAUCAGAUCAGGGUGAAGCUAUGGAUUUGGAACAGGAUGAUGGAAUAUAAAGGAAAUGUCAUCAUGCUGGACAGGUCAUGCCCAGUCAUCACUCCUCACCGGCAGGAGGGCCAGUGAGCUGCCACCUGCACUGACCCCUUAAACCUGGAGUGAAACCCCCAGGAUAUCACCUUCUGCCUGACCCACUGGACUUAUACUCAGUUUCUGCAGAAGCCUUUUACUCAUCUCAUUUGGGGUAUAGGGACAUGCCAUCACCCAGGAAGGCUAGAAAAGACUGGAGA